rnacentral:lncRNA from 1 species
AUUUUUUACUUCUUUCAUUGAUAAAUGAAAAGUAUUGCACCUUUUAAUUACACCAAAUGGAUUGAGUUCCUAAUUAAAAAAACUUCUUUUACCCCUGUCAGUCAUUUUCUUACAUGCUCAGCACAGAUUCACAACUCACUGUGUAGUGUUCCUAGAUUCAGCUGAAGACCUGGUACCUAGGGUUCCUAACGGGAUGGUGUUAGGAAACAUAUCAUGGCUGAUGACUGCCAUCUCCUUUCAGGUGAUGAGGUCACAGGCCUGCUUCAUUAAGAAGGUAUGAGCCUGGAAUGGGGAGCACACUUUUAACCAACAUGGGGACCAGUCAGGGCUAUCCCCUUUUUUCUUCCAUUUUUUAAAUAAUGUUUAGGUAAUCUCCUUCCCC